CCUACGGGAGGCAGCAGUGGGGAAUAUUGCACAAUGGGGGAAACCCUGAUGCAGCGACGCCGCGUGCAUGAAGACGUAAUUCGGUAUGUAAAGCUCUAUCAGCAGGGAAGAAAAUGACGGUACCUGAGUGAGAAUCCCCGGCUAACUACGUGCCAGCAGCCGCGGUAAUACGUAGGGGGCAAGCGUUAUCCGGAUUUACUGGGUGUAAAGGGAGCGUAGACGGCAGUGCAAGUCUGGAGGGAAAGGCGGGGGCUCAACCCCCGGACUGCUCUGCAAACUGUAGGGCUGGAGUGCGGGAGAGGUAAGCGGAAUUCCUAGUGUAGCGGUGAAAUGCGUAGAUAUGAGGAGGAACACCAGUGGCGAAGGCGGCUUACUGGAGUGUAACUGACGUUGAGGCUCGAAAGCGUGGGGAGCAAACAGGAUUAGAUACCCGUGUAGUC
rnacentral:rRNA from 1 species